AUGUCAUGCUUUCAUCUACAUCUACUGAACAAACUUUUCAAGUGGGACUCAUUUUUCAACCGAAGAUAUGAUGGCACUGCAAGAACAAGGCCCACAAUAUCAGCUGGUAUGGUGUGUAUCUGCAUAUAUAUGUAUGCCCUUUUCCUCUGGGCUUGGGCGUCGUUGGCAUUCUGGCUGCUUCUCUGCCGAAGUAUUGGCUCUUGGCAAAGAAUUUUAAUUACAUUUGUCAUGGCGCCGGAUCAAGACCAUGAGCAAGAUAACAGGAGUGGUCACAGCAUCAGCAGCAAAUCCUUUCAAAGAUGUGAGGGCUGCGAUGCACAUUAUUAUUGGUGUCAUAUGGAUGAUACCCAGAAGUAUUUCUUCAAGUGCAUGGUUGGCAAUUUCCAAGAAAAAAUGGCCAUUCCACAGAAGUUUGUGCAGAAUUUCAAAGGUCAGAUCUCUGAAGUUAUCAAGCUAGAAGCUCCUGAUGGAAACAUAUACAAUGUUCAGGCUAUCAAGGAUCUAAACAAGAUAGUCCUCGGGUCUGGAUGGGGGGUAUUUGUCAGAUUUUACGAACUAAAAGCGGGCUACUUCCUGGUCUUCAGGUACAUCGGGGAUUCUCACUUCAAAGUUCUGAUAUUUGAUUUUGCAAGUUGCUGUGAGAAGGAAGUGUUCCACGUUCUCAUGAACUGCGGUCCUAAUGCCCAAGAAAAAGACACUCGUCUUGAUCGAUCGCUACUGGGUGAAAAACGAUGCCAGAAUGGUGGAUCAAGCAACAGUGAGUCUCAUCGAAGGUGCGAGCACUGCGAUGUGCAUUUCUACUGGCAUCACAUGGAUGAUAGGCAGAAGCAUUUCUUGAGGUUCAUGGUUGGCGAUUUCCUUCACGAAAUGAACAUACCAGAGAAAUUUGUGAACAAUUUCAGAGGCAGGAUCUCUAAAGUUAUGAAGCUAGAAGCUCCUGAUGGAAAUGUAUACAACAUUCAGGUUACCAAUGAUCUGAACAAGAUAACCCUUAGAUCUGGAUGGGCAGCAUUUGCCAGUGCUUAUGAACUAAAAGAGCAUGACUUGCUGGUGUUCAGUUACACUGGAAACUCUCACUUUAGAGUCCUAAUAUUUGACCCAAGUGGUUGUGAGAAAGAAUUAUUCCGCAUUGUUAUGAACCACACUCCUAAUGUACAAAAAGGGGGUAUAUCUCAUGAUCAGUUAUUCCUGAAGGAAACAAGGCGUCGAGACGGCGGAUCGCGUGAUAACAACCCUAGGAAAACUAAAAAGAUGACUCUGUUGGACUCUCCUUCACCGAAAUCAGCUGAAGGUGUCACAUCUCCGGAGGACACCAUGAAUUCAAGCGGCCCUCCAGAAACCACCGAGCCUCGGUAUGUCCUAGCAACAGGGUGCAAUCUGACUACAGCUCAGAAGGCACAAAUCGACACACUUGUGAAGAAAAUUAGGCCUGUAAUUCCAUUUUACAUCACAGCCAUGAACAAGACAAGUUUGUCUGGAUCUCUGGUAAUCUGCAAGGAUUAUGCUGCCAAAUACCUUCCACAUGAAGACCAAUUCAUCACACUCUGCCAUCCUCGUAAGAGCAACAUAUGGUUAGACAAUUUGAAGGUUACCACUGAUGGUUCAGGCAUGCUUUCUGCUGGCUGGUCAUGCUUCGUUCUCCACAACGAGUUGCGGGAAAGUGAUGUUUGUGUAUUCGAAGUAUCAAAAAGCGCUGGUGAAAUGACAAUGGUUGUUCAUUCUCUUGAAGGAGGUCAUCACCUACAAGGGAAAGAGCCCGAAUCUCAAAACAAGUGCGAUUAUCCUGUUAAGGGCAAGGCGAUCAAGGAAGCUGAGAGUGACCAUAAACAUGCUGAGUCCAAGUCCAACUACUACUACUCAAAGUAUGCCAAGGGCCUGAAUGGCGAGGAGCUAGAGGAGAUAUUCAGGUCAGCGUUGAUCCAACAGGGCAAUGUGGUAUACGUCACCAUCCUGGGGAAGAAUCAAGUUAGAAUCAAGAACAACUUGCUGACCUUCCCCGAGAAGUUUGCAGCUAAGCAUCUCGUGGAGAGGUCGCAUGACAUCCUGCUCCUGAGGCCCAACCGGAGUGAGACGUGGUGUGCGAGGUACUACUACCACCCGGAAAAACAGGGUUUCAGCUACAGUUCCUGGACCAAGUUCGUCCGAGACAACAAGCUGCGUGAGGGCCACGUCUGCGUCUUCGAGCUGAUUAAGGGCGUGAGUAAGGCGAUGAUGAUUGUCCACGUGUUCACCAAGGUCGAUGGCAGGUUUGUUCUGCUGGACUAA
rnacentral:rRNA from 1 species